UACGUAGGGGGCAAGCGUUGUCCGGAUUUAUUGGGCGUAAAGAGCGUGUAGGCGGUUAGGUAGGUCCGUUGUGAAAACUCGAGGCUCAACCUCGAGACGCCGAUGGAAACCAUCUGACUAGAGUCCGGAAGAGGAGAGUGGAAUUCCUGGUGUAGCGGUGAAAUGCGUAGAUAUCUGGAGGAACACCGGUGGCGAAGGCGGCAUCCUGGACCGAUAUUGACGCUGAUGCGCGAAAGCCAGGGGAGCAAACGGG
rnacentral:rRNA from 1 species